ensembl:snRNA U2 U2 spliceosomal RNA
AUUUCCCAGCCUUUUGCCAAGAUCAAGUGCAUCAUCUUUUCUUAUCAUUUUAAUAUAUGAUACAUCCUCAGCUUGAAGAUUUUGUAUUAAAUGCAUUUGGAGGGCAUGGGAAAGAGUAACUGGUUCCUUCAUCCACCCUAUACAUUAACCUGUGCUACCAGGAACCAUGGCCAAACC